rnacentral:misc_RNA from 1 species
CCGCCGGGAGUCCGCUCCUGACCGGGAUAGCACCCUUGCCUUUGAGUACCUUUUCGUUUCCUCGGUGGGCUCGCCUGCCGGUGGACAACCUUCAAAACCUUUUGUAAUAGCAGUAUCUUCUGAAAAAACACAAAUAGUCA